ensembl:lncRNA
GGUGGCAGCUGAGAGGGGUGCAGGGGACGCCUGGCCCCUCACGCUGAGCCUGCUGUCCUCGGGACAGGCUCUGCAGAGCCCAAGACACCAUCUAUGGAAUGGUUGAUAGCCACCAACAUGCCUUGGGCCCCGUCUCACUGCUAGCAUCACCACACAUGCUUCUCCGACGCACCUCCCUCCCAGCUCUUCGAGAGGCCAGCAGAAGGAGACACGGUGCCCCAGUGACGUGCAGAAGUACAGGGUCCCCCAGGCCGGUAGGAGAGGGAACGGGGCCGACUGCGUUCAGGGCAGCCCCAGCUGACGCCUCUCCUGUCCAGGCACCCGCUUGGGAUCUUUCCUUACAUUAGAGGAUCAGAAAUAGAAGUCCAGGAUUGAAGGAACGUUUUCAGGUUGCAGAUUCACGUUGACAACAUCCUCUAAAAGUCUACCUGCAUUUACGCUCCACUGAGGAUGACCAGUUAAAUAAAAUUUCUCCAGUUCAGCA